GAUGAACGCUGGCGGCGCGCCUAACACAUGCAAGUCGAACGAUUAAAGCACCUUCGGGUGUGUAUAAAGUGGCGAACGGCUGAGUAACACGUGGGCAACCUGCCCCUUUCAUUGUGAUAGCCACGGUAAACCGUGGAUAAUACCGAAUACUUCGAGACUUCCGCAUGGAAGACUCGAGAAAGCUCCGGCGGAGAGGGAUGGGCCCGCGGCCUGUUAGCUUGUUGGUGGGGUAACGGCCUACCAAGGCAAUGAUGGGUAGCUGGGUUGAGAGACCGACCAGCCAGAUUGGGACUGAGACACGGCACAGACUCCUACGGGAGGCAGCAGUGGGGAAUCUUGCACAAUGGGCGAAAGCCUGAUGCAGCGACGCCGCGUGCGGGAUGAAGGCCUUCGGGUUGUAAACCGCUUUCAGCAGGGACGAGGCGAAAGUGACGGUACCUGCAGAAGAAGCCCCGGCUAACUACGUG
rnacentral:rRNA from 1 species